AUUGAACGCUGGCGGCAUGCUUUACACAUGCAAGUCGAACGGUAACAGGCCGCAAGGUGCUGACGAGUGGCGAACGGGUGAGUAAUGCAUCGGAACGUGCCCAGCCGUGGGGGGUAACUACUCGAAAGAGUAGCUAAUACCGCAUACGAUCUAUGGAUGAAAGCGGGGGGGCGGAAGGGCUCGCGCGAUUGGAGCGGCCGAUGUCAGAUAUGGUAGUUGGUGGGGUAAAGGCUCACCAAGCCAACGAUCUGUAGCUGGGCUGAGAGGACGAGCAGCCACACUGGGACUGAGACACGGCCCAGACUCCUACGGGAGGCAGCGGUGGGGAAUUUUGGACAAUGGGCGCAAGCCUGAUCCAGCAAUGCCGCGUGGAGGAAGAAGGCCUUCGGGUUGUAAAAUGCUUUUGUACGGAACGAAACGGCUCUGGUUAAUACCCGGGGCUAAUGACGGUACCGUAAGAAUAAGCACCGGCUAACUACGUG
rnacentral:rRNA from 1 species